rnacentral:rRNA from 1 species
UACGUAGGUGGCAAGCGUUGUCCGGAUUUAUUGGGUUUAAAGGGUGCGUAGGCGGCCUUGUAAGUCAGUGCUGAAAUACCCCGGCUUAACCGGGGGGGUGGCAUUGAUACUGCAGGGCUUGAGUACAGAUGAGGUAGGCGGAAUUGACGGUGUAGCGGUGAAAUGCAUAGAUAUCGUCAAGAACACCGAUAGCGAAGGCAGCUUACUGGGCUGUAACUGACGCUGAUGCACGAAAGUGUGGGGAUCAAACAGG